rnacentral:rRNA from 1 species
UGAGUACGAGAUGCUACGGCAUCGAAGCAGUCUAUGUCAUACUUCCAAGAAAAGCUUGCACUGUCAUAAACAAAGAAUGCCUGUACCAUAACCGACACAGGUGGGUAGGUAGAGUAUACUAAGGGGCGCGAGAUAACUCUCUCUAAGGAACUCGGCAAAAUGACUCCGUAACUUCGGGAGAAGGAGUGCCUUAUUUCUAAGGUUGCAAUAACAAGAUCCAAGCAACUGUUUACCAAAAACACAGGUCUCCGCUAAGUCGUAAGACGAUGUAUGGGGGCUGACGCCUGCCCAGUGCCAGAAGGUUAAAGAAAUUGGUUAGCAUUAGCGAAGCUGAUAACUGAAGCCCUGGUGAACGGCGGCCGUAACGAUAACGGUCCUAAGGUAGCGAAAUUCCUUGUCGGGUAAGUUCCGACCCGCACGAAAGGCGUAAUGAUUUGGAUACUGUCUCGGAGAGGGGCUCGGUGAAAUAGACUUGUCUGUGAAGAUGCGGACUACCUGCACCUGGACAGAAAGACCCUAUGAAGCUUUACUGUAACUUGAGAUUGAAAUUGGACUUUAUUUGCGCAGUAUAGGUGGGAGGCGUUGAGAAUAAUCUUGCGGGAUUGUUGGAGCCAUCAGUGAGAUACCACUCUUGUAAUGUUAGAUUUCUAACUUUGUAUCAUUAUCUGGUCAAAGAACAGUUUCAGGCGGGCAGUUUGACUGGGGCGGUCGCCUCCCAAAGGGUAACGGAGGCGCACAAAGGUUUCCUUUGAACGGGUAGAAAUCGUAUCUAUAGUGUAAAGGCAUAAGGAAGCUUGACUGUGAGACCUACAAGUCGAGCAGGGACGAAAGUCGGUCUUAGUGAUCUGACGGUGCUGAGUGGAAAGGCCGUCACUCAACGGAUAAAAGUUACUCUAAGGAUAACAGGCUGAUCUCCCCCAAGAGUUCACAUCGACGGGGAGGUUUGGCACCUCGAUGUCGGCUCAUCGCAUCCUGGGGCGGUAGUCCGUCCCAAGGGUUGGGCUGUUCGCCCAUGAAAGCGGUACGCGAGCUGGGUUCAGAACGUCGUGAGACAGUUCGGUCCAUAUCCGGUGUAGGCGUUAGAAUAUUGAGAGGAGCCUUCUCUAGUACGAGAGGACCGAGAAGGACAUACCUCUGGUGUACCAGUUAUCGUGCCAACGGUAAACGCUGGGUAGCUAUGUAUGGAGUGGAUAACCGCUGAAAGCAUCUAAGUGGGAAGCCCACCUCAAGAUAAGUAUUCUCACC